AUUGAACGCUGGCGGAAUGCUUUACACAUGCAAGUCGAGCGGCAGCGCGGCCUUCGGGCUGGCGGCGAGCGGCGAACGGGUGAGUAAUGCAUCGGAACAUGCCCAGUCGUGGGGGAUAACACUUCGAAAGAAGUGCUAAUACCGUAUACGUCCUGAGGGGGAAAGCGGGGGAUCGCAAGACCUCGCGCGAUUGGAGUGGCCGAUGUCAGAUUAGCUAGUUGGUGGGGUAAAGGCCUACCAAGGCGACGAUCUGUAGCUGGUCUGAGAGGAUGAUCAGCCACCCUGGAAUGGGAACAGGGCCCGGCUCCCAAGGGAGGCAGCAGUGGGGAAUUUUGGACAAUGGGGGCAACCCUGAUCCAGCCAUUCCGCGUGAGUGAAGAAGGCCUUCGGGUUGUAAAGCUCUUUCGGCAGGAACGAAACGGUGGGCUCUAACAUAGUCCGCUAAUGACGGUACCUGAAGAAGAAGCACCGGCUAACUACGUG
rnacentral:rRNA from 1 species